GACGAACGCUGGCGGCGUGCCUAACACAUGCAAGUCGAACGGACAGGCCCUUUCCGUGGUCCUUGAGCGGCGAACGGGUGAGUAACACGUGCGUAACCUGCACCCAUCUCUGGGACAACGGUCGGUUACGGUUGCCAAAACUGGUACUGAACUUGCUUGGCAACCUGAGGGUUGGAUAGUUUUUUUUGGCUGGGGUUGGACUUGUGGGCUAACCGCUUGCUGGUUAGGUAGUGGCUAACCUAGGCUCUGACGGGUAGCCGGCCUGAGAGGGCGACUGGCCGCAUAGGGACUGAGAGACGGCCCAAGCUGCGACGGGUGGGAGCAGUGGGGAAGAUUGCACGAGCGACGGAGGGCUGAUGCAGCAGCGCCGCGGACGGGAUGACGGCCUUCGGGGUGUAAACCGCUUUCGAUUGUGACGGAGCUUUUUGUGACGGUAGCAAUAGAAAAAGCACCGGCUAACUACGUG
rnacentral:rRNA from 1 species